rnacentral:rRNA from 1 species
GAUGAACGCUGGCGGCGUGCCUAAUACAUGCAAGUCGAGCGAACAGACGAGGAGCUUGCUCCUUUGACGUUAGCGGCGGACGGGUGAGUAACACGUGGGUAACCUACCUAUAAGACUGGGAUAACUUCGGGAAACCGGAGCUAAUACCGGAUAAUAUUUCGAACCGCAUGGUUCGAUAGUGAAAGAUGGCUUUGCUAUCACUUAUAGAUGGACCUGCGCCGUAUUAGCUAGUUGGUAAGGUAACGGCUUACCAAGGCAACGAUACGUAGCCGACCUGAGAGGGUGAUCGGCCACACUGGAACUGAGACACGGUCCAGACUCCUACGGGAGGCAGCAGUAGGGAAUCUUCCGCAAUGGGCGAAAGCCUGACGGAGCAACGCCGCGUGAGUGAUGAAGGUCUUCGGAUCGUAAAACUCUGUUAUUAGGGAAGAACAAACGUGUAAGUAACUGUGCACGUCUUGACGGUACCUAAUCAGAAAGCCACGGCUAACUACGUGCCAGCAGCCGCGGUAAUACGUAGGUGGCAAGCGUUAUCCGGAAUUAUUGGGCGUAAAGCGCGCGUAGGCGGUUUUUUAAGUCUGAUGUGAAAGCCCACGGCUCAACCGUGGAGGGUCAUUGGAAACUGGAAAACUUGAGUGCAGAAGAGGAAAGUGGAAUUCCAUGUGUAGCGGUGAAAUGCGCAGAGAUAUGGAGGAACACCAGUGGCGAAGGCGACUUUCUGGUCUGUAACUGACGCUGAUGUGCGAAAGCGUGGGGAUCAAACAGGAUUAGAUACCCUGGUAGUCCACGCCGUAAACGAUGAGUGCUAAGUGUUAGGGGGUUUCCGCCCCUUAGUGCUGCAGCUAACGCAUUAAGCACUCCGCCUGGGGAGUACGACCGCAAGGUUGAAACUCAAAGGAAUUGACGGGGACCCGCACAAGCGGUGGAGCAUGUGGUUUAAUUCGAAGCAACGCGAAGAACCUUACCAAAUCUUGACAUCCUUUGACCCUUCUAGAGAUAGAAGUUUCCCCUUCGGGGGACAAAGUGACAGGUGGUGCAUGGUUGUCGUCAGCUCGUGUCGCGAGAUGUUGGGUUAAGUCCCGCAACGAGCGCAACCCUUAAGCUUAGUUGCCAUCAUUAAGUUGGGCACUCUAAGUUGACUGCCGGUGACAAACCGGAGGAAGGUGGGGAUGACGUCAAAUCAUCAUGCCCCUUAUGAUUUGGGCUACACACGUGCUACAAUGGACAAUACAAAGGGCAGCGAAACCGCGAGGUCAAGCAAAUCCCAUAAAGUUGUUCUCAGUUCGGAUUGUAGUCUGCAACUCGACUACAUGAAGCUGGAAUCGCUAGUAAUCGUAGAUCAGCAUGCUACGGUGAAUACGCUCCCGGGUCU